AUUAGGCUUCCAGGGGAUACUGUUAGACUUUGGGGACCGGGAGAGGUAAGAGGUACUGCAGGGGUAGGAGUGAAAUCUUGUAAUCCCUGUGAGACCACCAGUGGCGAAGGCGUCUUACCAGAACGGGUCCGACGGUGAGGGACGAAAGCUGGGGGCACGAACCGGAUUAGAUACCCGGGUAGUCCCAGCUGUAAACGAUGCUCGUUAGGUGUCAGGAACGGUGCGACUGUUUCUGGUGCCGAAGGGAAGCCGUGAAACGAGCCACCUGGGAAGUACGGCCGCAAGGCUGAAACUUAAAGGAAUUGGCGGGGGAGCACUACAACGGGUGGAGCCUGCGGUUUAAUUGGACUCAACGCCGGAAAACUCACCGGGGGCGACAGCAAUAUGUAGGUCAGGUUAAAGGUCUUACCUGAAUCGCUGAGAGGAGGUGCAUGGCCGUCGUCAGUUCGUACUGUGAAGCAUCCUGUUAAGUCAGGCAACGAGCAAGACCCGUGCCCACUGUUACCAGCAUAUCCUUUAUGGAUGAUGGGGACUCUGUGGGGACCGCUGCUGCUAAAGCAGAGGAAGGUGCGGGCUACGGUAGGUCAGUAUGCCCCGAAUCUCCCGGGCUACACGCGGGCUACAAUGGUUGGGACAAUGGGUAUCUACUCCGAAAGGAGUUGGCAAUCUCUUAAACCCAAUCGUAGUUCGAAUUGAGGGCUGUAACUCGCCCUCAUGAAGCUGGAAUCCGUAGUAAUCGCGUUUCAACAUAGCGCGGU
rnacentral:rRNA from 1 species